GAUGAAGAACGCAGCGAAAUGCGAUAAGUAAUGUGAAUUGCAGUAUUCCGUGAAUCAUCGAAUCUUUGAACGCACAUUGCGCCCCCUGGCAUUCCGGGGGGCAUGCCUGUCCGAGCGUCAUUUCUGCCCUCAAGCACGGCUUGUGUGUUGGGUGUGGUCCCCCCGGGGACCUGCCCGAAAGGCAGCGGCGACGUCCGUCUGGUCCUCGAGCGUAUGGGGCUCUGUCACUCGCUCGGGAAGGACCUGCGGGGGUUGGUCACCACUAUAUUUUACCACGGUUGACCUCGGAUCAGGUAGGAGUUACCCGCUGAACUUAAGCAUAUCAAUAAGCGGAGGA
rnacentral:misc_RNA from 1 species